AGGGCUAAUGGUGGAUGCCUUGACUGUAAGAGGCGAUGAAGGACGUAUUAGGCUGCGAUAAGCCUCGGGGAGCUGCCAAAGAGCUUUGAUCCGAGGAUUUCCGAAUGGGGCAACCCAGCAUAUAGAGAUAUAUGUUACCCUACGGGGAGCGAACCUGGUGAAGUGAAACAUCUCAGUAGCCAGAGGAAGAGAAAUCAAACGAGAUUCCGUCAGUAGCGGCGAGCGAAAGCGGAUUAGGACAAACCCAAUGCUUGCAUUGGGGGUUGUAGGACCAUAACGUGAGACUAAAGAAGAUAGAUGAAAUACUUGGAAAAGUGUAGCAUAGAAGGUGAAACUCCUGUAAUUUAAAUUUUCAAUAGCUCUAAUGGUAUCCUGAGUAGGUCGGAACACGUGAUAUUUUGACUGAAGCUGGGGGGACCACCCUCCAAUCCUAAAUACUACUUACAGAUCGAUAGUGAACAAGUACCGUGAGGGAAAGGUGAAAAGUACUGCAGCGAGCAGAGUGAAAUAGAACCUGAAACCAUUAGCUUACAAUCAUUCAGAGCCCUAUGGUGCAUCUCGUAAAGUUUUAACUUUACUAGUGCACCGAAAGUCAUCAAGAUUAGCGGAGUCCUUGUAAAAUCGUAAGAUUUUAUGAGGUGCACCAGGGUGAUGGACUGCCUUUUGCAUAAUGAGCCUGCGAGUUGUGGUGUCUGGCAAGGUUAAGCCAAGUGCGAAGCCGUAGCGAAAGCGAGUCUUAAUAGGGCGAAAUAGUCAGAUGCUGCAGACCCGAAACGAAGUGAUCUAUCCAUGAGCAGGUUGAAGCUGGUGUAAGAGCCAGUGGAGGACCGAACCCGCUGACGUUGAAAAGUCUUGGGAUGACUUGUGGAUAGGGGUGAAAGGCCAAUCAAACUUCGUGAUAGCUGGUUCUCUCCGAAAUAUAUUUAGGUAUAGCCUUGUGUUGUAGCAUAUAGGGGUAGAGCACUGAAUGGGCUAGGGCUGCUUACCGCGGUACCAAACCCUAUCAAACUAUGAAUACUAUAUGUGGAAUCACAGGAGUCAGGCGAUGGGUGAUAAAAUCCACCGUCGAGAGGGGAACAACCCAGACUAACAGCUAAGGUCCCUAAGUUACAUCUAAGUGGAAAACGAUGUGGAGUUACUGUGACAACCAGGAGGUUGGCUUAGAAGCAGCCAUCCUUUAAAGAAAGCGUAACAGCUCACUGGUCUAGUGAUUCUGCGCGGAAAAUAUAACGGGGCUAAGAUGUGCACCGAAGCUUUAGAUUCGAAUUUAUUCGAGUGGUAGGAGAGCGUUCUAUUCAGCGUUGAAGAUGUACCGGUAAGGAGCGUUGGAGCGGAUAGAAGUGAGCAUGCAGGCAUGAGUAGCGAUAAUUGAGGUGAGAAUCCUCAACGCCGAAAACCCAAGGUUUCCUACGCGAUGCUCGUCAUCGUAGGGUUAGUCGGGUCCUAAGUCGAGACUGAAAAGUGUAGACGAUGGCAAAUUGGUUAAUAUUCCAAUACCAACAUAUAAGCGCGAUGUGGGGACGCAUAGAGUUAAUCGAGCUCACUGAUGGAAUAGUGGGUCGAAGGAUGUAGGUUGUUAAGUAGGCAAAUCCGCUUAACGUUAGACCGAGAUCUUACAGGCUCUUGACACUCUUCGGAGGAGAUGGAGAAUCGAUGAUACUGUCGUGCCAAGAAAAGCCACUAAGUUUAUUAUAUGUUGCCCGUACCGUAAACCGACACAGGUGGGUGGGAUGAGUAUUCUAAGGCGCGUGGAAGAACCCUGGUUAAGGAACUCUGCAAACUAGCACCGUAUCUUCGGUAUAAGGUGUGCCUACUUUGGUAUAUGGGCUUGCCCCAAAAAGCUAGAGAGGUUGCAACAAAGAGUCCCUCCCGACUGUUUACCAAAAACACAGCACUUUGCUAACACGUAAGUGGAUGUAUAAGGUGUGACGCCUGCCCGGUGCUCGAAGGUUAACUGAUGAUGUCAGCGCAAGCGAAGCAUUUGAUUGAAGCCCGAGUAAACGGCGGCCGUAACUAUAACGGUCCUAAGGUAGCGAAAUUCCUUGUCAGUUAAAUACUGACCUGCAUGAAUGGCGUAACGAGAUGGGAGCUGUCUCAAAGAGGGAUCCAGUGAAAUUGUAGUGGAGGUGAAAAUUCCUCCUACCCGCGGAAAGACGGAAAGACCCCGUGCACCUUUACUACAGCUUGACACUGUAGCUUGGAUAUUCAUGUGCAGGAUAGGUGGGAGGCUAUGAUGACUAGACGCAAGUAGAGUCGGAGCCAUCCUUGAGAUACCACCCUUGAAUAUUUGAGUUACUAACUGCGAUGAGUUAUCCUCAUUCAGGACAAUGUCUGGUGGGUAGUUUGACUGGGGCGGUCGCCUCCUAAAUAGUAACGGAGGCUUACAAAGGUUAGUUCAAAGCGGUUGGAAAUCGCUUGUUGAGUAUAAUGGCAUAAACUAGCUUGACUGUGAGACCUACAAGUCGAACAGAGACGAAAGUCGGUCAUAGUGAUCCGGUGGUUCUGCGUGGAAGGGCCAUCGCUCAAAGGAUAAAAGGUACGCCGGGGAUAACAGGCUGAUCUCCCCCAAGAGCUCACAUCGACGGGGAGGUUUGGCACCUCGAUGUCGGCUCAUCGCAUCCUGGGGCUGUAGUCGGUCCCAAGGGUAUGGCUGUUCGCCAUUUAAAGCGGUACGCGAGCUGGGUUCAGAACGUCGUGAGACAGUUCGGUCCCUAUCUUCCGUGGGCGUAGGAAAGUUGAAGAGAUUUGUCCCUAGUACGAGAGGACCGGGAUGAACCAACCACUGGUGUACCAAUUGUUCUGCCAAGAGCAUCGUUGGGUAGCCACGUUGGGAUGUGAUAAGAGCUGAAAGCAUCUAAGCUCGAAGCCAACUCUAAGAUGAACUUUCCCUGAAGUUCCCAGCAAGACUAGCUGGUUGAUAGGCUGGAUGUGUAAUGGGUGUAAGCCCUUUAGCUGACCAGUACUAAUAGAACGUUCGGCUUAUUU
rnacentral:rRNA from 1 species